rnacentral:rRNA from 1 species
GUAGAACGCUGAAGGAGGAGCUUGCUUCUCUGGAUGAGUUGCGAACGGGUGAGUAACGCGUAGGUAACCUGCCUGGUAGCGGGGGAUAACUAUUGGAAACGAUAGCUAAUACCGCAUAAUAGUAGAUGUUGCAUGACAUUUGCUUAAAAGGUGCAAUUGCAUCACUACCGGAUGGACCUGCGUUGUAUUAGCUAGUUGGUGGGGUAACGGCUCACCAAGGCGACGAUACAUAGCCGACCUGAGAGGGUGAUCGGCCACACUGGGACUGAGACACGGUCCAGACUCCUACGGGAGGCGGCAGUGGGGAAUAUUGCACAAUGGGCGCAAGCCUGAUGCAGCCAUGCCGCGUGUAUGAAGAAGGCCUUCGGGUUGUAAAG